UGAAAUGUUAUUAUUUAUUUUUUCCUUCUACGCCAUAGGGAUCACUGUGUAAAGACCCAUAGGAAAUGCUUUCCUAGACGUCCUCCCAGGAAUAUCUCCUGUGCUACAACUGGAAAAAAAAUCUCCAAGUGAGAAGACCUUACUUGUCUUCUGAAAGCCUGAGAUACAGAUUUCUGCAGACAAGAGGGACAUUGUUAGAAAGAGGACUACUCAGCAGCAGCGCUGAUUCCUUGGAAAGUAGCUCACUCUUCUUUGUCCUUUGGCCAACAAUUGAGCCUGGACCUGAAAAAAGUGGUCUUUAAACACUGACUCUUGCAAAAUCCCUGUGGAGGUCUGCAAAGGCAGAGCCAGAACGAGAACUAAAGUUGAAGGGGGGGUUUGAUCCAAGUGGAAGGCAGAUAAUGAGUGGAUUAACUCAGGUCAAGGGAAGAAAAAAGUGAAGGAGAAAAAUAGAUGAAGUGGAUGCAUAUUGAAAUAACAAGUAACUGGAGGUGACCUUUUUGAUGCAGAUGGCAGAGCCAAACAGGGAACUUUGCAGCAGGCCAAAAAUACUCCUGAAACUGCAAAUGUCCCAAGAGGGAGGUGAGAGAGGCUUCCAAUGCUGAGCACAGAGAGGUCUGCUCAGUCCUCCUGCAAACAGCUGAUGAGUGGUGAAACUUGCUUUCAGAACUGAUAAAAGCAUCCCUAAGGGAGCUGAUGGCUUAUAGAAUUACUUCCAAGAGGAAACUCUUUCACUCAGAUGAUUGCAAACUGGAUCAAACUGAACUCCACAAGCAUGCUGCAUUUUAAAAAGUAAUUGUGCUCAGGUAAGAGCAUUGUGUACAUCACAGUUAGCAAAUUCAUUAAUUCCUUCAUUUAUUCUUUGAGAAUCUACUAUGUACUGAGGACUUUUAGGUGCUAGAGACCAAAUAUUGAUCAAAAUCUCUGCUUUCUUAGGA
rnacentral:lncRNA from 1 species